UGCUAAUUAAAAAUUAGGAGCGGCGUACAUCCACCGAUUCUUCCUUUCCCGAUAAAAAAAAUCUAAAGCACCCAUAUUAUCUCUCUCAAUCUCUCAUGUCUCUGUUCAUAUUCUCAUGGAAAAGAGAUCCAGGUCUCUCUUAGAUUGGAACAACGAAGUUGGUCAUCGAUCCCACUCUCAAUCUCUCAUGUCUGUCUCUCUCUCCCUCAAACUCUCAUCUUUCUUCCUCUCCACAAGCAGAUCUUUGUCUCUCCCAAUUGCAAAUUUGCAGCAAGGACGUUAGGCCAUGGAUUCUGCGCUCAUCUCCACAUGGAAACAGAUCGUGUCUCUCCCAAAUUGCAGCAAGGAAUUUAGGGCAUGCAUCUCCUGCGCUCAUGGAGCUUAUUACAGUAAAAUUAUUUUCCUCAUCUAGAUCAAGUUCGUAUUCUUAGUCCUUGCACUGAUUUAUUUUCAGUUUCUUUUUGCCGGUCUGGAUUCAAUUCUUUUCAGGUUCAUCUUCUUAGUCCUCACACUAAUUUGUUUUGAAUUUCUUUUUGCCUGUUCGGAUUCAGUUGUUUUCAUCGUGCCCUUUAAUAGUGUUGCCUAGGGAUUCAAUCUCCUUUAUCGUGUGUCUUCUUGAAGCUGAUGAUUGCCAUGGCAAAAUAAAAUCAGUGUUCUCGAUCCCUCAAAAAACAAAACAAAAAAAAAUCUUUCUGUAGCGCACAGAAAAGAAACAUGUACCUUAUAUGUAGACAAAGACACGUCCAAGUACAACUCCAAUCCUUCCAAUAUGGGUGGAUCUCUAUUUUCUCACUAAUUGACCCUAUCAUUGACUCUUUGCUGUGAUUUGGCUUCCCAAAUCAUAGUUUUCUCAAUCCCUCAACCAAGAUGGGCAGGGGGUGGGGGAUAUGGAGAAGGACGGAGCUCCUGUUGUGGUUGGUGUCAUCGCAAAUGGUGGAUGUUGACCAUGCUGUCCCAUGGAGGGAAGGUAAUCUUGAAGAACAACUAUCUCGCAAAGACAUUGACCAUCCACUCAGCGCAACAGCAGGACAUAUGCAGGUACACUGGAGCAUAAUUCUAUCAAUUACCUAUGGAAGACAGUCCAACAUGGAUGCUCUUAAGAGUACAUCAUUUGAGGAUGUGCACAUGGUGUAUAUGCUGAUGAAGGAAGCCUAGGAACAAGCAUAUUUACGACAUACAUGGAGAAGAUGGUGUCCAAUAAAGGGAAAAGCAGCGAAGUAAAACAUGAUUAGUUUAGAGUGACAUGAAAGCAGACUGUCUUUCAACAAUAGGUGGAUUCUAAAGAUAAGGACAGGUGUACAACGCAAGAGCUAUAAUAAGGCCUAACAUGGUUGUUGGAAGAUGUAUUUGUACAAUAAUAGGCAUGCACAUGCAGCUGUAGUAAAAAGAGUUAAUAACUUAAUAUGAGAUAUUCAAUUCCAGUGCCUGAAUGAAAAUAGCUGAACAAAUUUCUGUAAUAUAGCAGCCCAAUAGUUUGUAUAAAUACGGAUGCAUGCAGGUGAUGAUAGACACUAUAUCAUGUCUGAUCCAUAAGUAAGUGUGUGUUGUGCAUUAAGUUUUCGAUUCUUUGUGAUAUGUUUUGAUUAGUUCUGUAGCAUCCAGUUUAACAUCUUAUGUCGCAGACAUUUGGUGAAGUAUCAGAAAGGAGAGUCUUUCAUUAAUUCUGCGUUACCAUGAUGGUAUGUAAGGUGAGCAAAAAUAAAAUUUGUGGCCUUAAUUCCCAACAACUCUCAAGGAAAGUAAGAUGAGUCAUAUUAAUAGAUAGUGUUGUCAGGGACCUUGAUAGUAUCUCUCAGACGAGUACCACUUUAUAUGGGAUAGGAGAUGCUUGAUCCAUGAAUAAAAUAACUUGGAGCUCCUGUUUAGAGCGUCUACUAAAUUAUUGGUUCAUCCAUCUAAAUGUUUUUACAAAAACGGGCCUUUUUUAGCCGCAAACCGUAGAACAAUAGUUUUACGGUAUAUUUUCAUUAAAAUAAUAGUAUGUUACAAAUGGGGA
rnacentral:rRNA from 1 species